rnacentral:rRNA from 1 species
UACGUAGGCAGCGAGCGUUGUUCGGAGUUACUGGGCGUAAAGCGUGCGUAGGCGGUGUCUUAAGUUUGUUGUGAAAUCUCCCGGCUUAACCGGGAGGGUGCGGCGAAUACUGAGAUGCUGGAGUGCCGGAGAGGUAAGCGGAAUUCCUGGUGUAGCGGUGAAAUGCGCAGAUAUCAGGAGGAACACCGGUGGCGAAGGCGGGUCUCUGGGCAGCAACUGACGCUGAGGCACGAAGGCCAGGGGAGCAAACGGG